rnacentral:rRNA from 1 species
UAAAAUAGGCCUCAUCGUCGUAGGAAGACCCGCUGAACUUAAGCAUAU